GAUGAAGAACGUUAGCGAAAUGCGAUAAGUAGUGUGAAUUGCAGAAUUCAGUGAAUCAUCGAAUCUUUGAACGCACAUUGCGCCCCUUGGUAUUCCAUGGGGCAUGCCUGUUCGAGCGUCAUUUGUACUCUCAAGCUAAGCUUGGUGUUGGGUGUUUGUCCACUCCCUCGUGUUUGGACUCGCCUUAAAACAAUUGGCAGCCAGUGUUUUGGUAUUGAAGCGCAGCACAAUUUGCGAUUCUAGCCUAGAAUACUAGCAUCCAUCAAGUCAUUUUUAACGCUUGACCUCGGAUCAGGUAGGGAUACCCGCUGAACUUAAGCAUAUCAAUAAGCGGAGGA
rnacentral:misc_RNA from 1 species